rnacentral:rRNA from 1 species
GAUGAACGCUGGCGGCGUGCCUAAUACAUGCAAGUCGAGCGAACAGACGAGGAGCUUGCUCCUCUGACGUUAGCGGCGGACGGGUGAGUAACACGUGGAUAACCUACCUAUAAGACUGGGAUAACUUCGGGAAACCGGAGCUAAUACCGGAUAAUAUAUUGAACCGCAUGGUUCAAUAGUGAAAGACGGUUUUGCUGUCACUUAUAGAUGGAUCCGCGCCGCAUUAGCUAGUUGGUAAGGUAACGGCUUACCAAGGCAACGAUGCGUAGCCGACCUGAGAGGGAGAUCGGCCACACGGUAACUGAGACGCGUUCCAGACUCCUACGGGAGGCAGCAGUAGGGAAUCUUCCGCAAUGGGCGAACGCCAGACGGAGCAACGCCGCGUGAGUGAUGAAGGUCUUCGGAUCGUAAAACUCUGUUAUUAGGGAAGAACAAAUGUGUAAGUAACUAUGCACGUCUUGAGGGUACCAAAUCAGAAAGCCACGGAAAACUACG